UAAGGAAUAUUGGUCAAUGGACGCAAGUCUGAACCAGCCAUGCCGCGUGAAGGAUGAAGGUCCUCUGGAUUGUAAACUUCUUUUAUCUGGGACGAAAACGGGAUUUUUAUCUCAAUUGACGGUACCAGAGGAAUAAGCACCGGCUAACUCCGUGCCAGCAGCCGCGGUAAUACGGAGGGUGCGAGCGUUAUCCGGAUUUACUGGGUUUAAAGGGUGCGUAGGUGGGCUUAUAAGUCAGUGGUGAAAUCUCCGAGCUUAACUUGGAAACUGCCGUUGAUACUAUAGGUCUUGAAUUAUCUGGAGGUUAGCGGAAUAUGUCAUGUAGCGGUGAAAUGCUUAGAUAUGACAUAGAACACCAGUUGCGAAGGCAGCUUACUACAUAUAAAUUGACGCUGAGGCACGAAAGCGUGGGGAUCAAACA
rnacentral:rRNA from 1 species